GCUUAUCACCAUUCCAGAUUGAAUAUACCCGAUCUCGUGUGAUCUAGGAAGUCAAGCAAUCUCCGGCUUGGUUAGUACUUGGAUGGGUGACCGCUUGGGAAUACCAAGUGUGAUAAGCA
rnacentral:rRNA from 1 species